rnacentral:misc_RNA from 1 species
UCCCCGUUCCCCGGGGCAGUCCCCUCAGAGUGCCCGGCAUGACCCGGUAGCAACAGAGGGCGAGGGUUGCGCUCGUUGCGGGACUUAACCCAACAUCUCACGACACGAGCUGACGACAGCCAUGCAGCACCUGUCUUGGGACUCCGAAGAGGGGACUCGGUUUCUGAGAGCUUGCUCCUGCAUGUCAAGCCUAGGUAAGGUUCUUCGCGUUGCGUCGAAUUAAACCACAUGCUCCACCGCUUGUGCGGGCCCCCGUCAAUUCCUUUGAGUUUCAACCUUGCGGUCGUACUCCCCAGGCGGGGUACUUCCUGCGUUAGCGCCGGCACCCAGAGGGUCGCUCCCCCAGGCACCUAGUACCCAUCGUUUACGGCGUGGACUAC